CGGAGUGUAGUUCAUCGGUAGAACGCUCGGUUCGGGACCGAGAGGUACCGGGUUCAAUUCCCGGCACUCCGACCC
rnacentral:tRNA from 2 species